CAGACAUAUGCAGAGGCUUGCCAUACAAAUCUCCUAGGUGCCUCUUAGUCCAGUCAAGGUGACCAGAGAGAUGACCUAUCGCACAGAGCUAGCAUGUGUCAGAAUCCUGAGGUGUUGAGGCAUCUGCUUUGUUGUAAGAAGCCAUGUGAUAGGAUGGUGAACCAUGGGCAGGUAAUCACAGAGGGGAGGGAGGAGUGGUUGGUCAGUGAAGACCACAUUAGAGUCUUUAUUUUGUAAAACCUUCGCCUUCAUAUGAAAGGAGGCUGGGGGGGGGACACAAAGUCUCUCUUUAUGUAAUUAUUAAUUGUAUGUAAUUAUUAGUCCAUAUUAUGUCAUUUCAGUGGGGUUGCUCUGACUGUGGGGUCAACUGAAGACAACAAGAAUGGCAGGAAAACAUGGCUUAAGGAUGGAUGUUUCCAGGUAACAGAGAAGAGGAUGAGAGCUGGGGCCAGGGACUAAGCUUUGGAGGGAAGGAUCUAACAGGCACCUCGACCUUCACAAGGGACUGGAUGGUAAAGCUGGGUAAGCAGGUUUAGGCUCCUUUUACAGUAGUAGUCCUGUACAUGGUUAAAUAAGAAGCCUUUAAUCACCUUUCUUCCCAUGAACAUUUGUUUCCUAGUCCGCAAAGGCUCCAUCCUGUCCACGAGGAAGGAGCAUUCUGGCUACUGUGGUAGUUUUUCAGGAUGAAUGGCUUAGAGUUUGGAACUGUCCUCCUGUGAGGCAGACAGCAGGCCUGGCUUUGAGGCUCAUUCUCCUGAGGACAGACGUGACUCAUCAUUCAGGAUGUUGUGUCAUCCUUAAAUGAACAUGGAAUUUGUGGCCAGAUCGUCUUCCCCUGUGGACACGUGUGACAAUUAGGGAAAGAGCAGAGAGGUGGUAGAGUGGAGGACCAAGCAUGUCCAGUGGGAGCCUGGUGACAGAAGUUGUCAGCUACAAGUCAAAGAAAGGCAUCUUGAGAACUCGUGACCGUGUCUGCGUCCUAAGGCUGUGGAAACCUGAGCUGGGAGACACAAUGCUGUGUCUGAGGAUGGAAAGGAGCACUCGAGGACAAUGGACAGCGGAUGUAUCAAGGGAAGCUGAAAAUCUCCUAGUUUCAGAACCUGUACAAACAUGGCCAUGGACCGUGUUUGUACAGGAGCCACUGUGCCUGGACAAUUGUAGCUACUGUCUCACCAUCAAAAAAAGCUUCUCUUUGCAGCAAAUGGAGACCAUCACAGAAAAUCACAAUUGAGUACAGUGCAGAGGAGAACCCAGACCCAAAGGAUACACCUAUAUCAAAGAUGCUGCAUCAGUGACUCAGGGAACGUCUUAGGAGAUGGGGUGGAGAGUGUAAGAGCCGGACUGCCAGGCUGUCUGCUGUGAGUCAGUCUCUCCUAGACUGUGACAAUGGCAGUACCAGUGGAUAUGUUAACAUGGACGGGGGAAUCUUCAUGGUCUCAUCUUUACACAAAGAACUACAGGCAAGGAAUAACUGCUGGGAGUAUAACUAGCCUUUCCAAGGAAUAAACCUCUUCAUUGGUUGUUGUGAUGGUUUGAA
rnacentral:lncRNA from 1 species